rfam:Canis lupus familiaris chromosome 17, whole genome shotgun sequence.
CGCUUUGUGCAAUGGUAGUAUCGUAACCAAUGAAGUUUAUCCGAGGCGCAAUUAUUGCUAAUAUGGCUUUUACCAUUUACGUAUUAUUUAUAUUUUCUAUAAAGUAGUAUAUUAC